rnacentral:rRNA from 1 species
AUUGAACGCUGGCGGCAGGCCUAACACAUGCAAGUCGAGCGGGGGUAGCAAUACUCUAGCGGCGAACGGGUGAGGAAUGCUUGGGAAUCUGCCUGGUAGUGGGGGACAACGUUCCGAAAGGAACGCUAAUACCGCAUACGUCCUACGGGAGAAAGGGGGGGAUCUUCGGACCUCUCGCUAUCAGAUGGGCCCAAGCGGGAUUAGCUAGUUGGUGAGGUAAAGGCUCACCAAGGCGACGAUCCCUAGCUGGUCUGAGAGGAUGAUCAGCCACACUGGAACUGAGACACGGUCCAGACUCCUACGGGAGGCAGCAGUGGGGAAUAUUGGACAAUGGGCGAAAGCCUGAUCCAGCCAUGCCGCGUGUGUGAAGAAGGCCUUCGGGAUGUAAAGCACUUUAAGCGAGGAGGAAGGUUCGUCACCUAAUACGUGACGGAAUUGACGUUACUCGCAGAAUAAGCACCGGCUAACUCUGUGCCAGCCGCCGCCGUAAAAC